GUAUGGUGCAAACGUUGUUCGGAAUCACUGGGGCAUAAAGAGCACGUAGGCGGUCUUGUAAGUCUGACUGUGAAAUCCCUCGGCUUAACCGAGGGAACUGCAUCGGAUACUGCAGGACUAGAGUGCAGGAGGGGAGAGUGGAAUUCCUGGUGGAGCGGUGAAAUGCGUAGAUAUCAGGAGGAACGCCGGUGGCGAAAGCGACUCUCUGGACUGUAACUGACGCUGAGGUGCGAAAGCCAGGGGAGCGAACGGGAUUAGAUACCCCGGUAGUCCUGGCCCUAAACGAUGGGCACUAAGUAGAGGAAGUUCCGAUGCUCUCUCUGCUGCAGCAAAUGUGUUAAGUGCCCCGCCUGGGGAGUAUGGUCGCAAAGGCUA
rnacentral:rRNA from 1 species